rnacentral:rRNA from 1 species
UACGAAGGGGGCUAGCGUUGCUCGGAAUUACUGGGCGUAAAGCGCACGUAGGCGGCUCUUUAAGUCGGGGGUGAAAUCCUGGAGCUCAACUCCAGAACUGCCUUCGAUACUGAAGAGCUCGAGUCCGGGAGAGGUGAGUGGAACUGCGAGUGUAGAGGUGAAAUUCGUAGAUAUUCGCAAGAACACCAGUGGCGAAGGCGGCUCACUGGCUCGGUACUGACGCUGAGGUGCGAAAGCGUGGGGAGCAAACAGG